UCUAGAGAUUCCUACGGGAGGCAGCAGUGGGGAAUCUUAGACAAUGGGGGCAACCCUGAUCUAGCCAUGCCGCGUGAGUGACGAAGGUCUUAGGAUCGUAAAGCUCUUUCGCCUGUGAAGAUAAUGACGGUAGCGGGUAAAGAAACCCCGGCUAACUCCGUGCCAGCAGCCGCGGUAAUACGGAGGGGGUUAGCGUUGUUCGGAAUUACUGGGCGUAAAGCGCGCGUAGGCGGAUUGGAAAGUUGGGGGUGAAAUCCCAGGGCUCAACCCCGGAACUGCCUCCAAAACUUCCAGUCUGGAGUUCGAGAGAGGUGAGUGGAAUUCCGAGUGUAGAGGUGAAAUUCGUAGAUAUUCGGAGGAACACCAGUGGCGAAGGCGGCUCACUGGCUCGAUACUGACGCUGAGGUGCGAAAGUGUGGGGAGCAAACAGGAUUAGAUACCCUGGUAGUCCACACCGUAAACGAUGAAUGCCAGUCGUCGGCAAGCAUGCUUGUCGGUGACACACCUAACGGAUUAAGCAUUCCGCCUGGGGAGUACGGCCGCAAGGUUAAAACUCAAAGGAAUUGACGGAAUCGUCGACC
rnacentral:rRNA from 1 species